rnacentral:rRNA from 1 species
UCCAGACUCCUACGGGAGGCAGCAGUGAGGAAUAUUGGUCAAUGGCCGGAAGGCUGAACCAGCCAAGUCGCGUGAGGGAAUAAGGCCCUAUGGGUCGUAAACCUCUUUUGUCAGGGAGCAAAGGCGUCCACGAGUGGACGAAAGGAGAGUACCUGAAGAAAAAGCAUCGGCUAACUCCGUGCCAGCAGCCGCGGUAAUACGGAGGAUGCGAGCGUUAUCCGGAUUUAUUGGGUUUAAAGGGUGCGUAGGUGGUUAAUUAAGUCAGCGGUGAAAGUUUGUGGCUCAACCAUAAAAUUGCCGUUGAAACUGGUUGACUUGAGUAUAUUUGAGGUAGGCGGAAUGCGUGGUGUAGCGGUGAAAUGCAUAGAUAUCACGCAGAACUCCGAUUGCGAAGGCAGCUCACUGGACUGCAACUGACACUGAGGCUCGAAAGUGUGGGUAUCAAACAGGAUUAGAUACCCCAGUA